rnacentral:rRNA from 1 species
GAUGAACGCUAGCGGCAGGCUUAAUACAUGCAAGUCGUGGGGCAGCAUGAGUGUAGCAAUACAUUUGAUGGCGACCAGCAAACGGGUGCGGAACACGUACACAACCUUCCUUCAAGUGGGGAAUAGCCCAGGGAAACUUGGAUUAAUACCCCGUAAUAUUAUGGAGUGGCAUCACUUUAUAAUUAUAGCUCCGGCGCUUGAUGAUGGGUGUGCGCCNGAUUAGGUAGUUGGCGGGGUAACGGCCCACCAAGCCUUCCGAUCAGUAACUGGUGGUGAGAGCACGACCAGUCACACGGGCACUGAGACA